GACGAACGCUGGCGGCGUGCUUAACACAUGCAAGUCGAACGAAGUGGCGAACGGGUGAGUAACGCGUAAUAAACCUGCCCUUCAGAGGGGGACAACAGUUGGAAACGACUGCUAAUACCGCAUAAUGAAGGAGGGGAUUGCGUCUGAGUAGCUAGUUGGAGGGGUAACGGCCCACCAAGGCGAUGAUCAGUAGCCGUGCUGAGAGGAUGAACGGCCACAUUGGGACUGAGACACGGCCCAGACUCCUACGGGAGGCAGCAGUUGGGAAUCUUCCGCAAUGGACGAAAGUCUGACGGAGCAACGCCGCGUGAGUGAUGACGGCCUUCGGGUUGUAAAGGUAUGUUAAUCGGGACGCGGUACCGGAAUAGAAAGCCACGGCUAACUACGUGCCAGCAGCCGCGGUAAUUC
rnacentral:rRNA from 1 species